rnacentral:rRNA from 1 species
AUUGAACGCUGGCGGCAUGCCUUACACAUGCUAGUCGAACGGUAACAGGUCUUCGGAUGCUGACGAGUGGCGACCGGGUGUGUAAUACAUCGGAACGUGCCCGAUCGUGGGGGAUAACGAGGCGAAAGCUUUGCUAAUACCGCAUACGAUCUACGGAUGAAAGCGGGGGAUCUUCGGACCUCGCGCGGACGGAGCGGCCGAUGGCAGAUUAGGUAGUUGGUGGGAUAAAAGCUUACCAAGCCGACGAUCUGUAGCUGGUCUGAGAGGAUGAUCAGCCACACUGGGACUGAGACACGGCCCAAACUCCUACGGGAGGCAGCAGUGGGGAAUUUUGGACAAUGGGCGAAAGCCUGAUCCAGCCAUGCCGCGUGCAGGAUGAAGGCCUUCGGGUUGUAAACUGCUUUUGCACGGAACGAAAAGCCUCUUUCUAAUAAAGAGAGGUCAUGACGGUACCGUAAGAAUAAGCACCGGCUAACUACGU